CUUUGAGCACCACUGAAAGGGAAAUGGCAGGGGAUGGACCAACGGUGACCAUGAAGCUGCCUUCAGGAUGACGUAGGGAGGUUCUGAGCCUGAGUCCCCAGUCAUCUCAAACAGAUGUCACACCAUGGGGGAUGAUUAGCCUCCCCUGCUCCAGAAUGUUCUGAAACAACAAAAGGGUGAAUUGUGACACAUCAGAAAAUAAAAAAGGCAGGCCCAUUUCUAAGGCACGACUCCCAGCCAGUGGAACAGACCAGCUGGCCCAGCUCAUCGAUGAGAGAUGCUAUUUGAGUUGUCAUUUCCGUUGCCAGGCCUCACAUCUGUAGCUUGGGAUGCGCCCACUUGUCUCUGGGAUCUGCAUCUGCUCCUGGAGCUCAUUCAAAGGGAACGGCUCUCGGAAUCAAGGUCCACUGUGGAGAAAGAUGGCCUUUCCUCUGUCCAGUGGGGAGUCUUCUCCUUGGGUGCCGCCUCUGGACAUCUUGGAACCUGGAAGAAUUUGUCAUAGAAGCAAUGACAAUCUUGUCAUAGAAGCAGUGGGGAUCAGAGCAAGAAAUGAACCAAUAUAUCAUCUGGACUGACUCCUGUGUCGUAUAGAUAGGAAACUGAGACACAGAGAGGAAAAGAAGUUCCAGGCAUCAGUGUUUUGGGGCCACUGGCAUAAACAGUGAACGGCUUGGCGUAAAACCAGAGUCCAGUUGCUGAAGGACUGCUUCACUCCACUAAACACCCUAUAUCUCCUUAUAAAGUAAAGGGUAGAGGGGAAAAAGGGACAUUUUUGGAAUUAAGAGCAUUAUGCACACCUAUAUAUUUACUAAUCAUGGAGGCCAGUUAAUGUAGUAAGUUUGGGAGAUUGGGACCCUGGGGGCCAAACUUCGAGUCUCAUCUCUACCCUGUUCUAGCUGGAUGACUUUGAGUGAAGAACCCAUCUCCAAGACUCUGUUUCUUUACCUGUAGUAUGGGUUUGAUACCUGUGCCUAUUCUGUGGAGUUGUUAUAAGGAUAAAGUGAGUUGAUA